CUCCCGGCCAGUGCCACAUUCAGCACAGAUUUAUUGAAUGCCUCCUAUAUGCCAGGCACAAAGUGGGGCUUACAUUCUAGUGGGAAAGACCAACAAUAAACAGAAUGAAUAAAUAAAUUAUAUAAUCUGUUCAAAGGUGGUAGGAGCUACGGAAGAAAAUAGCUGAGUAAGAGGAAUUAGAAGUCCUGGUGUGCAUGGGGCAGGUGCAACCGUAAACAGGGUGCUCAGAGCGGGACUCAUGGAGAAGACUGAAAAAUGGCCUGCGUGAACGAGCAAUAGCGAGAGGGCAGGCAGAAGGGGAGAGAGGGAACAGGAGACAGAGGUGCACAGAGAGAAAGGCGGAGAACACAGAAAUAAGCCUGAGAGCAGGAAGAGGAAAAGCACAUCUGUCCACACGAUAUAGCAGCCAAGUGAUGCUUAUGUCCAAGCGACAUGGCCAGGAAGGCCCAGGGGUCAGCCUGCUGGUCGUCAUUGCCGACACCUUUGUCUGAGACAAGGUGCCCAAAAGAGGAACCGGAUAAAUGGCACAAUAUCCCAGCACAGGGGGUUUGGGCAUUGUGGGGACCAGACUUUUCAACUCAGAUCAAAGAGGGAAUCUCAGAACGGAAACCAGAUUUCAAAGGAUGUCACCAGAGCUCUGCAGAUAGGCCAGCUCCAUUCCCUUAUUCUCACAGUCUCACCCCGGCUUUCCCUCCUCCGGCUGUGAUCCUCCAACAUCGAGGUGUGUGUUCCCCCCAGGGGCUCAAGUGCAUUUUUCUGCUUGUGAGAAAUGGCAACACUUUGCCCCAAGGGGCUAGCACUCUGGCACAAAAGCUUGGAGUACUGGAGAGGGGGCUCCAGUGCUUUUUGCUCCUCUCUUUUCUCCACCUCCUGCUUCC
rnacentral:lncRNA from 1 species